CGAGACUCCUCUGCCCUAAGGGAGGCCCUGCACUGCGAUUUUGAAGACCGUUCAAACGAAGGCCGAGCUCCUCGCAGAUUCAAGCCCUCAAUCCACCAACGCGAAGCCCAGAGCUGCGAGAGGGGUGAAGCUUUUUCAUUUGUCUUUCCUUUGACAGAAUCACCAUGGCAUCUUCUCAAUCAUCAUCUUUAGAUAAUGAUUUUGUCAUGGAGUCACCAACUUGUUGGUGUGGUUUGAAAACGCCACUAAAGACGUCCUACACUAAGAAAAAUCCUGGAAGGAGAUUUUUUGCCUGUCCCAAAUAUAAUACGGGAGAUGCGAGGUGUGAAUUCUUCGUAUGGGCGGAUAUUUUUGAGUUGUUAGUGGAGAACAUGUUAUUAAAACAUAACUCACGGCGUAAUACAUGGGAUGAUGUAUUACGCCGCGAGUAUGCCGUUCGGAAAAGGGAAGAAAAAGUGAGAGAGAUAGCGAAGAAUCUGAAAAAGGAAAAGUGAAAGUUAUUGUGUUUGUACUGGAUUAUCACCUUUGUAAUAUUGUUUACUUGGUUUGGAUAAAUGUAAUGUAAGAAGCACGUUGUGUAAAAUUAUGUAAUUUUUGAAUAGAAACAGCUUCUCCUUUAAA